CCCUUAGAUGUUCUGGGCCGCACGCGCGCUACACUGAUGCAUUCAACGAGUCUAAAACCUGCUCUGAUAGGGGUGGGUAAUCUUUUGAAUGUGCAUCGUGAUUGGGAUAGAUGAUUGCAAUUUUUCAUCUUCAACGAGGAAUGCCUAGUAAACGCAAGUCAUCAGCUUGCAUUGAUUACGUCCCUGCCCUUUGUACACACCGCCCGUCGCUCCUACCGAUUGAAUGGUCCGAUGAAUAUCAUAGACUGAGAGUAUAAGCAGGUUCGCCUGUCUUUGCUUCUCGGGAAGUGAAGUAAAUCUUAUCAUUUAGAGGAAGGAGAAGUCGUAACA
rnacentral:rRNA from 1 species